GUGAGUCUGUAUAAAUGGUGGCCGCCCUUUGGGGGGCGGGGAGUGGUGAUUCUCCUGACUGUAUCAUAAAGCCACAGACAGGGCUUCUUCCCUGGCGGCUCAGCGGCAAAGAAUCCGCCUGCCAAUGCAGGAGAUAGGGGUUCAAUCCCUGAUCAGUGAAGAUCCCACAUGCAGUGGAGCAAACAAGCUGUGUGCCACAACUACCGAGCCUGUGCUCUAGUCUGGCAGCCACAACUACCGAGCCCACCUUAAUGCGAAGCGUGCUCUGCGAACAAGAGCAGCCAGCGCCAUGAGAAGCCCGAGCGCUGCAACUCAAGUAACCCCGCCCGCCACAGCGAGGGGAAAGCCCACGGGCAGCGAUGAAGACCCAACACAGCCGAAAACAAAUGCAUGAAUAAAAUAUAAAAUGCCUGACUUGGAAAAAAUGAACCAUCAGUAAGUAUUUUUCUCAAAAGCUGCGCACAACAUUGGAAAUCCGACAACCAGGGAUGUGAACAUGCCUGGUUCUGUUGAACCAGAAUCUGGUGAGUGCCUGGGCCAGGUGCUUCUACUCGGGUCUGCUCACAGGGUCCAUCCAGAGCACCUGGAGACUUUGCUCAGUAGCUCCGUCCUCACUGCACAUCCCGGGAGGCUGGGUAGCUGGCUCUACCUGCAACCCGUGGGAAUGUUUGUUUCUGCUGGGUCUGCCUCCCGCGCUGCAAAGUUGGCCCUGUGAAAGCAGCUAAUGGAUAUGUUUGCGUUGCUUCAGUCUCCCCGGGACCCAGCACUGUGCCUGGACCGUGGCAGCAGCCCCGGGAAAGAAACACACAGGCCACCCACAAGAAACACGGUUGCUGUUUAGUUGCUAAGUCGGGCCCGAAGCUUCGCCCACAGACUGAAGCCCGCCAGGCUCCACCAUCCAUGGGACUGUCCAGGCAGGAAGACUGGGGUGCGUUGCCAUCUCCUCCAGGAGAUCUUCCCCAUCCAGGGAUCGAACCCGCGUCUCUCGUGUCUCCUGCAUUGGCAGGUGGAUUCUUGAUCACUAGCCGCCAGUUCACUGACGCUCAAGCACCUCACAGGAAGGCCUCUCAGGACACAGACACUAGGGGUCUCAUCCGAGGAGCUGCUCCCACAGGUGGGCGGUCAGCUCAGCGCUCCAGGCCUGGGGCACUUGCCUCUCCCUGGGCAGGGGUGCCGGACGCCAGGCCUCUCCGGCUGUGCCAGUCACCACUGCUGCCAUGAGCAGACCUUCACAGUAUUUUCU
ensembl:lncRNA